GCUUGCUCCUUGGGUGGCGAGUGGCGGACGGGUGAGGAAUACAUCGGAAUCUACUUUUUCGUGGGGGAUAACGUAGGGAAACUUACGCUAAUACCGCAUACGACCUACGGGUGAAAGCAGGGGACCUUCGGGCCUUGCGCGAUUGAAUGAGCCGAUGUCGGAUUAGCUAGUUGGCGGGGUAAAGGCCCACCAAGGCGACGAUCCGUAGCUGGUCUGAGAGGAUGAUCAGCCACACUGGAACUGAGACACGGUCCAGACUCCUACGGGAGGCAGCAGUGGGGAAUAUUGGACAAUGGGCGCAAGCCUGAUCCAGCCAUACCGCGUGGGUGAAGAAGGCCUUCGGGUUGUAAAGCCCUUUUGUUGGGAAAGAAAUCCGGCCGGCUAAUACCUGGUUGGGAUGACGGUACCCAAAGAAUAAGCACCGGCUAACUUCGUGCCAGCAGCCGCGGUAAUACGAAGGGUGCAAGCGUUACUCGGAAUUACUGGGCGUAAAGCGUGCGUAGGUGGUUGUUUAAGUCUGUUGUGAAAGCCCUGGGCUCAACCUGGGAACUGCAGUGGAAACUGGACAACUAGAGUGUGGUAGAGGGUAGCGGAAUUCCCGGU
rnacentral:rRNA from 1 species